GGGUGCGAUCAUACCAGCACCAAUGCACCGGAUCCCAUCAGAACUCCGAAGUUAAGCGUGCUUGGGCGAGAGUAGUACUAGGAUGGGGGACCUCCUGGGAAGUCCUCGUGUUGCACCCC
rnacentral:rRNA from 1 species